GACGAACGCUGGCGGCGUGCCUAAUACAUGCAAGUCGAACGCAUUUUCUUUCACCGUAGCUUGCUACACCGAAAGAAAAUGAGUGGCGAACGGGUGAGUAACACGUGGGUAACCUGCCCAUCAGCGGGGGAUAACACUUGGAAACAGGUGCUAAUACCGCAUAAUUCCAUUUACUGCAUGGUAGAUGGAUGAAAGGCGCUUUUGCGUCACUGAUGGAUGGACCCGCGGUGCAUUAGCUAGUUGGUGGGGUAACGGCCUACCAAGGCUGCGAUGCAUAGCCGACCUGAGAGGGUGAUCGGCCACACUGGGACUGAGACACGGCCCAGACUCCUACGGGAGGCAGCAGUAGGGAAUCUUCGGCAAUGGACGCAAGUCUGACCGAGCAACGCCGCGUGAGUGAAGAAGGUUUUCGGAUCGUAAAACUCGGUUGUUAGAAAAGAACAAGGAUGAGAGUGGAAAGUUCAUCCCUUGACGGUAUCUAACCAGAAAGCCACGGCUAACUACGUG
rnacentral:rRNA from 1 species